UGAGCCGGACAGUCGUGCCUGCAAGGGUAAGGAAAGUCCGGGCUUCGUAGGGCAAGGGUGCCGGUUAACGGCCGGCGGAGGCGACUCCAGGGAUAGUGCAACAGAAAUAAACCGCCUGCUUUCGGGCAGGUAAGGGUGGAAAGGCAAGGUAAGAGCUUACCGACAUACAGGCAACUGUAUGGGCUAUGUAAACCCCACCUGAAGCAAGGCCCAAGUGAAACAUAUGAACUGCCCGUUCCGUUUCGAUGAGGCCGCAUGAUGCCGUCGGCAACGACGGACCAAGAUAGAUGACUGUUCAAGACAGAACCCGGCUUAUAGGUUCGCUCA
rnacentral:RNase_P_RNA from 1 species